rnacentral:rRNA from 1 species
ACACUAUGUGUUGUUGGGUAGGGGAGCGUUCUGUAAGCCUGCGAAGGUGACCUGUGAGGGUUGCUGGAGGUAUCAGAAGUGCGAAUGCUGACAUAAGUAACGAUAAAGCGGGUGAAAAGCCCGCUCGCCGGAAGACCAAGGGUUCCUGUCCAACGUUAAUCGGGGCAGGGUGAGUCGACCCCUAAGGCGAGGCCGAAAGGCGUAGUCGAUGGGAAACAGGUUAAUAUUCCUGUACUUGGUGUUACUGCGAAGGGGGGACGGAGAAGGCUAUGUUAGCCGGGCGACGGUUGUCCCGGUUUAAGCAUGUAGGCUGGUUAUCCAGGCAAAUCCGGAUAAUCAAGGCUGAGGUGUGAUGACGAGGCACUACGGUGCUGAAGUAACAAAUGCCCUGCUUCCAGGAAAAGCCUCUAAGCAUCAGGUAACAUCAAAUCGUACCCCAAACCGACACAGGUGGUCAGGUAGAGAAUACCAAGGCGCUUGAGAGAACUCGGGGGAAGGCACUAGGCAAAAUGGUGCCGUAACUUCGGGAGAAGGCACGCUGGUGUGUAGGUGAAGUCCCUGCGGAUGGAGCUGAGACCAGUCGAAGAUACCAGCUGGCUGCAACUGUUUAUUAAAAACACAGCACUGUGCAAACACGAAAGUGGACGUAUACGGUGUGACGCCUGCCC